GGACAUGAGGGUGACGUGACGGCAAUAUCUGUCACCAAUUGAUCCCCAGGGCUGGUUUGGCUGAUCUGGCUGGCUAAGCAGGUGUCCCCUUCCUCACUGCUCCAUGUGCAUCCCUCCCAAAGAUGUGCACUUGGUCAAUGAGAAUGACCUUCCCUGAUAGAGGAAGAACCUUCUUCAGUCAAGGGUAUAUGGGUA
rnacentral:snRNA from 1 species